rnacentral:rRNA from 1 species
AGUGAACGCUGGCGGUAGGCCUAACACAUGCAAGUCGAACGGCAGCACAGUAAGAGCUUGCUCUUACGGGUGGCGAGUGGCGGACGGGUGAGGAAUACAUCGGAAUCUACUUUUUCGUGGGGGAUAACGUAGGGAAACUUACGCUAAUACCGCAUACGACCUACGGGUGAGAGCAGGGGAUCUUCGGACCUUGCGCGAUUGAAUGAGCCGAUGUCGGAUUAGCUAGUUGGCGGGGUAAAGGCCCACCAAGGCGACGAUCCGUAGCUGGUCUGAGAGGAUGAUCAGCCACACUGGAACUGAGACACGGUCCAGACUCCUACGGGAGGCAGCAGUGGGGAAUAUUGGACAAUGGGCGCAAGCCUGAUCCAGCCAUACCGCGUAGGUGAAGUAGGCCUUCGGGUUGUAAAGCCCUUUUGUUGGGAAAGAAAAGCAGCAGGUUAAUACCCCGCUGUUCUGACGGUACCCAAAGAAUAAGCACCGGCUAACUUCGUG